AGUGAACGCUGGCGGUAUGCCUAAUACAUGCAAGUCGAACGGCAACACAGUAAGAUUGCGCCUCUACGGGUGGCGAGGGGCGGGCGGGUGAGACAUACAUCGCCAUCUACUAUUUCUGGGGGGACAACGUGAGGAAACUUACACUAAUACCGCAUAUGAUGUACCGGAGAGAGCAGGGGAUCUUCGCACCUUGCGCGACACAUAUAGCCGAUGCCGGAUUAGCUAGUUGGCGGGGUAAAGGCCCACCAAGGCAACGAUGCGUAGCUGGUCUGAGAGGAUGAUCCGCCACACUGGAACUGAGACACGGUCCAGACUCCUACGGGAGGCAGCAGUGGGGAAUAUUGGACAAUGGGCGAAAGCCUGACGCAGCCAUGCCGCGUGGGUGAUGAAGGUCUUCGGGUUGUAAAGCCCUUUUGUUAGGGAAGAACAGAAGUGGAAGUAUACCCGGCUGUUUUGACGGUACCCAAACAAUAAGCACCGGCUAACUUCGUG
rnacentral:rRNA from 1 species